ACACGACUACAUUAGAUACCCCGGUAGUCCCAGCCCUAAACGAUGCGCGUUAGGUGUAUCGGUGACCACGAGUCACCGAGGUGCCGAAGGGAAACCGUGAAACGUGCCGCCUGGGAAGUACGGUCGCAAGGCUGAAACUUAAAGGAAUUGGCGGGGGAGCACCACAACGGGUGGAGCUUGCGGUUUAAUUGGAUUCAACGCCGGAAAUCUUACCGGGACCGACAGCAACAUGAAGGCCAGGCUGAAGACUUUGCCGGAUUAGCUG
rnacentral:rRNA from 1 species